UACGGGGGGGGCAAGCGUUGUUCGGAAUUACUGGGCGUAAAGGGCUCGUAGGCGGCCAACUAAGUCGGAUGUGAAAUCCCCAGGCUCAACUUGGGAACUGCAUCCGAUACUGGAUGGCUUGAAUUCGGGAGAGGGAUGCAGAAUUCCAGGUGUAGCGGUGAAAUGCGUAGAUAUAGGGAAGAACACCAAUCAGGCGAAGGCAGUUAACUAUUCUAUUCCUGACAUUGAGGCAUGAAAGCGUGGGGAGCAAAACGG
rnacentral:rRNA from 1 species